rnacentral:rRNA from 1 species
CGGACGGGUGAGUAACGCGUAGGGAUCUAUCUCUGGGUGGGGGGACAACCGUGGGAAACUACGGCUAAUACCGCAUGAAACCCGAGGGUCAAAGCAGCGAUGCGCCUGGAGAGGAGCCUGCGUACGAUUAGCUUGUUGGCGGGGUAAUGGCCCACCAAGGCGACGAUCGUUAGCUGGUCUGAGAGGAUGAUCAGCCACACUGGGACUGAGACACGGCCCAG